UGGCAAACAGAAAACACUGUUGAGUUUCGGUUAGAUGAGAAAUGAGAGAUGGAAAUGCAAGCUUACGUGCACAAAUUAAUGAAGAUGAUACGGGUAAUCAGUUGACUGUUAGCUGAUGACUUUUUUUUAUUUCAUAGGCUACUAUGUUUCUUAUUUCUCAUGUUUCGAAAUUUUUGAUUUAAGUUAAGUCACUUUGUAAUUUAACGACUCGCACCGAAGACAGUGUCAGACGGGGAGUUCGACUGGGUGGUACAUCUGUCAACGCAGGUGUCCUAAGGCUAGUUCAGAGAGAAAGGAAACUUUUCGUAGAGUAAAAGUAAAAGGUAAAGUAGAGUAAAAGGUAAAGGUUCGUUUGAUCUUGAUUUUUAGUACGAAUACAGACCACGAAAGCGUGGCCUAUCGAUCCUUUUGAAUUUCUUAGAAGUUUCUAGCAAGAGGUGUCAGAAAAACACACACACAAGGAUCACUGGCUUGUGGCAGCCAAGCGUUCAUAGCGACGUUGCUUUUUGAUCCUUCGAUGUCGGCUCUUCCUAUCAUUGCGAGGCAUUGGAUUGUAUACCACCAGUAAGGAAUGUGAACUGGGUUUAAACCGUCAUGAGACAGGUUAGUACUGUAAUAUGUUGUUGCGCAGUUGGAACUUCAGGUUCAGACGUUUGGUUCAUGUGCUUGGCCGCUGAUGCGUCUGAGGGAUUAUGACUGAACGCUUGUAAGUCAGAAUCCCACCUAGACAAGGCAAGAUAAAUUUGCUCCCCGGUGUCGGGAGGUACUGUUAUGUAAUUGUGGUCGUAAUACGUCUACUGUUACAGCUGAUGUCCCACACUAUAAGGCCUUGUUAUUUAAUCGAAGGAUUAAAUGGUUACCAAUACCGGAUUACCCUGGUACAAUAUCGGGGCGCAAGAUCACUUACAGACGACUUGAUUCCUGGUCAAGUUGUUGUAAGCAGUAGAGUAGCCUUCAUACUACGAUCUGUUAAAACUUGUGCUUUGAUUGAACGAUUU
rnacentral:ncRNA from 1 species